rnacentral:rRNA from 2 species
UUCUGGGAUAAGCCUGGGAAACUAGGUUUUAAUACCGGAUAGGAGCGCCUACCGCAUGGUGGGUGUUGGAAAGAUUUAUCGGUUUUGGAUGGACUCGCGGCCUAUCAGCUUGUUGGUGAGGUAAUGGCUCACCAAGGCGACGACGGGUAGCCGGCCUGAGAGGGUGACCGGCCACACUGGGACUGAGACACGGCCCAGACUCCUACGGGAGGCAGCAGUGGGGAAUAUUGCACAAUGGGCGCAAGCCUGAUGCAGCGACGCCGCGUGAGGGAUGACGGCCUUCGGGUUGUAAACCUCUUUCAGUAGGGAAGAAGCGAAAGUGACGGUACCUGCAGAAGAAGCACCGGCUAACUACGUGCCAGCAGCCGCGGUAAUACGUAGGGUGCGAGCGUUAUCCGGAAUUAUUGGGCGUAAAGAGCUCGUAGGCGGUUUGUCGCGUCUGUCGUGAAAGUCCGGGGCUUAACCCCGGAUCUGCGGUGGGUACGGGCAGACUAGAGUGCAGUAGGGGAGACUGGAAUUCCUGGUGUAGCGGUGGAAUGCGCAGAUAUCAGGAGGAACACCGAUGGCGAAGGCAGGUCUCUGGGCUGUAACUGACGCUGAGGAGCGAAAGCAUGGGGAGCGAACAGGAUUAGAUACCCUGGUAGUCCAUGCCGUAAACGUUGGGCACUAGGUGUGGGGACCAUUCCACGGUUUCCGCGC